rnacentral:rRNA from 1 species
UACGAAGGGGGCUAGCGUUGCUCGGAAUUCCUGGGCGUAAAGCGCACGUAGGCGGAUUGUUAAGUCGGGGGUGAAAUCCUGGAGCUCAACUCCAGAACUGCCUUCGAUACUGGCGAUCUCGAGUUCGGGAGAGGUGAGUGGAACUGCGAGUGUAGAGGUGAAAUUCGUAGAUAUUCGCAAGAACACCAGUGGCGAAGGCGGCUCACUGGCCCGAUACUGACGCUGAGGUGCGAAAGCGUGGGGAGCAAACAGG